UGCUGCUGCUACUGGGUGCUGCAGCAAAGGCUUGCUCUCUCUCUCCCCGCUUGACUUGGCUUGCUGGUUGCCUUGCCUUGCCUUUUGCCUUGCCUUGCUGCUUCCUAGUGAGGGCACUGGGCAAAGAUUUGAGUUUUAUUUUUUGCCUGGCUGCUUGGCAUAUUUUUAUUAUUUUUUUCUUUGAAGGGAAGGGGCUGGGAUUUUUGAAGUGGUAGGGGUGAGUUUGGCUGGGGAGCACACGUUAAGCUUUUCUUUAUUCUUUGUGUAAACCCUCCCUUCUUCCUCCUCCCUAUUGUUUUUUUAAAAAAAAUUCAAAGGAAAUAAAUUGUUCGGCUACCCUUCUCUGUUUAGAAAUCAGACCUCUCUCUCUCUAACUGCCCCCUGGAAAAAAACUACUCUUUUAUUUCUCUCUUUCUCUCUAUAUUGCCUGUGGCUUGGUCCUCCCUCUCCUUUGGGCUGUAUAAAGAACAAAUACAAUAGGAUAGUCUUAUUAUUUGUUAUAGAUUACAUAAUUUUUUGAAAGCAAAGACAUUUUGGGCUUCUUUUUCUAUUCAAACCUUCAGUCUCUCGCUAAUACUGGCCCUUAGGAGAACUAUAAUUAUUAUUUUUUCCAAUGAUCCGAAAAGUUUGGAUUUUUUUGGAUGCAAGAUGAAAAUCCCAUUUGAAUAGGCACCCCAUUUUUGGAAGCAGAGAUGAAAACAAAAAUGAUCUGAAACGAAUGAAACUAAACAAAACGAACAGCGAUUCCAUAUAAAUGCACACCACUACUAUGCAGCCUUUCUUGUGUGUGCCAAAAUAGGAAAUGCUUGGAUGCUUACUUUUCAUUCCCCCAAAAAGGAACCCUCUCUCCUCUCCUUUAAAAAGAACUUAUAGAUCCAUCUGUGUAACCUAGCUUAUGGAGAGGAGGAGGAUUAGAAUUUCUACAUAUAUUCUCACCUUGACAUUGGAAACUUACCUUAGCCUGUUGUUACGAUAUAUUAUAUCAUGUUUUAAUGAAUUGUGUUUUAAUAUAUUUGACUCCUUGUACUUAUUAUGUUUAUUUAGAAUAAUCCUCAGUUUUGGCUGUUUAUAAGUUAUAUUGUGCUUUUUUUGCCUUGAUUGUUGUUAUUUGUUGAGUAUUGUAUGUUUGCAAAUUUUGUUAUCUUUAUAAAUCUCCCUGAGUCCCUUCGAGGAGACAGGGCGGGUUAUAAAUAAUAAUAAUAAUUAUUAUUAUUAUUAUUAUUAUUAUUAUUAUUAUUAUUAUUAUUAUUUGUGUAAAAGAUCAUGGCCAUAAUCCAGCACAGUGUGAAGUACAUUUAAGACCAUUACAAAUGAAAUUGACUGGAUUGUGAAUCCCAACACUCAUUUCAAUGGUCCUCAACAAAUGGAAAACUGGAUUUUGUUUCAUUUUGCUGUAUGGCUAACAUGGGUAUCCUGAAGAUAUUUGUUUCUGGAACUGGACUUAAGAUCAAGAAUCCAGUAUGCUUAUAAUAAUCUCAUAACUAAUUUUUGCCUUAGUAAUUUCUUUAUCAUCUAAUAUCCUGUUAGGUUAGUUUUCUCAUUUGUAACCAAACUCUUCAUGAGGAAAUGAAUAAUUUAAAUACAGUUUCCUUUUAAAUCCUUGGUUGCAAAAGCACAGUGAUGCAUGGAGAAUGUAUAUCCUCUUGUCUAUUGAAUUAAUCGCCUGUUAAACUGAUUACUUACUAAUAAUCAAGAAUGGAUGAUUCUUCAAUGGCCACUAAUAACUAGAGGUUUUAUUCCUUCAUAGGCAAUUGGCUUUCUUGGUGAUGUCUGAAACCACUGCUUAUGAUCUGAGAGAAAAGGGGACAUUUGACAGAGCCUGGAAAAUUUACCUUUUAAAAUAAUAAAUUAUAGGAGCCCCGGUGGCGCAGUGGGUUAAACCCUUGUGCCGGCAGGACUAAUGAUUUGAAGGUUGGAUUGCUGACUUGAAGUUUGCCAGUUCAAAUCCAACCCGGGGAGAGCACGGAUGAGCUCCUUCUAUCAGCUCCAGCUCCAUGUGAGGCCAUGAGAGAAGCCUCCCACAAGGAUGGUAAAACAUCAAAACAUCUGGGCGUCCUCUGGGCAACAUCCUUGCAGAUGGUCAAUUCGCUCACACCAGAAGCGACUUGUAGUUUCUGAAGUUGCUCCUGACACAUACACAAAAAAAUUAAUAAUUAAAAAGAAAACCUCAUACUGAACUCUCUGAUCAGCACAGCCAUUUAUCUAGUGAUCACUUUGAGACCUGAGUAGCAGAUUCAGGGAGGAAUAUGGACAGUAAAGGACCAAAGUGAAUGCUAGGAGCCCUAGGGUUGUGGCUAUAUGCCAGCCAGGAGAGAACAAUGUUUGUAAUGCCCAGUUCACUCUUCUGUUGCUCUUUUUUCUUUUACUUUUCUAUAUGGUUGUAUUGAAUUGUUGCUAUUAUUUAUUGUUGUUAUUUUUUUUAAAAAAAAUAAAAAGCUUUAAAAAGGAGUAUUUCAUUUGGCUGACAAAUAAUGACCUAGUUCAUGUGCUCCUUUUCAA